rnacentral:rRNA from 1 species
CGGAGGGUGCAAGCGUUAUCCGGAUUUACUGGGUUUAAAGGGUGCGUAGGCGGGCCCUUAAGCCAGUGGUGAAAGCUCCGAGCUUAACUCGGAAACUGCCAUUGAUACUAUAGGUCUUGAAUUCGGUCGAGGUUGGCGGAAUGUGUCGUGUAGCGGUGAAAUGCUUAGAUAUGACACAGAACACCGAUUGCGAAGGCAGCUAGCUAGACCGACAUUGACGCUGAGGCACGAAAGCGUGGGGAUCAAACAGGAUUAGAAACCCUGGUAGUCCACGCCCUAAACUAUGAUUACUCGAUGUUGGCGAUACACUGCCAGCGUCUAAGCGAAAGCAUUAAGUAAUCCACCUGGGGAGUACGAUCGCAAGAUUG